rnacentral:rRNA from 1 species
UACGAAGGGGGCUAGCGUUGCUCGGAAUCACUGGGCGUAAAGGGUGCGUAGGCGGGUUUUUAAGUCAGGGGUGAAAUCCUGGAGCUCAACUCCAGAACUGCCUUUGAUACUGAAGAUCUUGAGUCCGGGAGAGGUGAGUGGAACUGCGAGUGUAGAGGUGAAAUUCGUAGAUAUUCGCAAGAACACCAGUGGCGAAGGCGGACUCACUGGCC